AUUGAACGCUGGCGGCAGGCCUAACACAUGCAAGUCGAGCGAGCGGCGGACGGGUGAGUAAUGCUUGGGAAUCUAGCUUAUGGCGGGGGAUAACUACGGGAAACUGUAGCUAAUACCGCGUACCAUAGGAUGAGCCCAAGUGGGAUUAGGUAGUUGGUGAGGUAAAGGCUCACCAAGCCGACGAUCUCCAGCUGGUCUGAGAGGAUGACCAGGCACCCUGGGACUGAGAAACGGCCCAGACGCCUACGGGAGGCAGAAGUUGGGAAUAGUGCGCCAUGGGGGAAACCUGACGCAGCCAUGCCGCGUGAAUGAAGAAGGCCUUCGGGUUGUAAAGUUCUUUCGGUAGCGAGGCUUUAACUACAGAAGAAGCACCGGCUAACUCCGUGCCAGCAGCCGCGGUAAUUC
rnacentral:rRNA from 1 species